rnacentral:lncRNA from 1 species
GCGCGGCGCGCGGCGCGCGCGUGUGCGGGACAGCCCGCGCUCCCCUCGCCGGGAUUCCCUCUGAGGAGAAAACCGACGGGAAAGGGACCCUGCAUGGAGCGCCGCACCCCGCGCUGACUGCUCCCCUUUCGUUGUUUUUUGGUUUUUUGUUCGUUCGUUUUUGUUUGUAUCUUUGUUUGCUUUUUUCCCCCUGAUACCGUUAAAAAUCUAAAUAUGAGGAAAUUAAAAUCCAGAAAGGAUUCUAUGUGGAGAUUCUUAAUGUGACCUGUGAUAUGCCAUGACCCUGUCAAGAGAAGGAGUAUAUUUUGUAAUGCUCCUAAAAUAUUGAUACUUAAUAAGCAGGACGAGUGUUUACUUAAAUUACUUAAUGCUUUUAUUUUGUGGUUCUUAAGAUAAAACUUCUUUUUAUGCCGUUUUCGCAGGGAAAAAAUCUUUGAUAGAAAUUCGUCACUGUGUUUUAGUAAAUUUGUUUCGAAAAGGUUUUCAGUAAUAGAGCCUAUUUGUUUUUGUUCUAGACGGUAGAAAUCGGAAAAUCUUUGUCGUUAAUGCUGAAAAAAUAAUAUAUGAUUAUUUAAUUCUGAGAUCAAGAUAAAGGCUGCUAAGAUUUCACAGUUCAAUCAGUGGCGCAAAAGCUGAUCGUUCACAUUAAUUUUUUAUGUCCCCUUCCUAUUUUUGCGUAAGGAUUCGGAGUUCUCCAUCACACAGGUCUUCCAUCAAAUUAUCUUCUACAACUGCGUGGAAAAUCAAAGCCCCUGUUUCACAGGAAUUUUCAUAAAUUCUGACUAUAUAAGAACAAGAAAAAAAAACCUCCUCAAAACCCAACGAAAAGGCAUCGCUGAGCAGCGGGACCGGGAAGCAGAGCGAAAGCCCCCAGCCCUGCACCCGCAGCAGUAAUUCCAGCUUUGUUCGUGGGCUUUUACUCGCAAAUAUCACAUUAAAGCCGGACUCCGCAACUCGCUCCCCUGCGGAGCCCCGGCCUUCCCCGCCGACGCCGGCGCACAGAAAAACGCCCGUGGCGUUCGGGGAGCCGGGGCACCGGGCUGCCGGCACGGAGGACAGCUGCCUAGCUUCGGCAGCGGCACGGAGACCGGCCCUCGGGCGGCCUCACUGCCGGUUGUCCGCGGAGCCUCCCACAACAGGGCACUCCCCAAGCUGGCUCUGCAAGUCCGCGGCUCCGACCGUGCCCCCGGUGGCGGCGCCCGCCGCCCGGUGCUUCCACGUGGCCGGGCUCUCCCCCGGGCGCCGACGAGCGGGCAGUCCCAGGACCGGGCCGAUUUGGCACGGUAGCCCAGCGGAACGCCCCCGGCCCGGGACGAGCCGCCGCCGCCGGCGCACGACGGUGACUGAUCCAGCCCGCGCUCCCCCCUCGGAAGGAUGGAUGUGAACGAGCUACUAAGUGUAGUUACUAAUAACAAUAACAAUAAAUUAUUGGACUGUUGCUCA